AGAUUGAACGCUGGCGGCAUGCCUUACACAUGCAAGUCGAACGGUAGAGUAGCAAUACUUGAGAGUGGCGAACGGGUGAGUAAUAUAUCGGAACGUGCCCAGUCGUGGGGGAUAACGUAGAGAAAUUUACGCUAAUACCGCAUACGAUCUAAGGAUGAAAGCGGGGGGACCGUAAGGCCUCGCGCGAUUGGAGCGGCUGAUAUCAGAUUAGGUUGUUGGUGAGGUAAAAGCUCACCAAGCCGACGAUCUGUAGCUGGUUUGAGAGAACGACCAGCCACACUGGGACUGAGACACGGCCCAGACUCCUACGGGAGCAGCAGUGGGAAUUUGGACAAUGGGCGAAAGCCUGAUCCAGCAAUGCCGCGUGCAGGAAGAAGGCCUUCGGGUUGUAAACUGCUUUUGUACGGAACGAAACGGUCUGACUUUAAUACAGUGGCUAAUGAACGGUACCGUAAGAAUAAGACACCGCUAACUACGUGCCAGCAGCCGCGUAAUCGU
rnacentral:rRNA from 1 species